rnacentral:rRNA from 1 species
CCUACGGGUGGCAGCAGUGAGGAAUAUUGGUCAAUGGACGAGAGUCUGAACCAGCCACGUAGCGUGAAGGAUGACUGCCCUAUGGGUUGUAAACUUCUUUUAUAUGGGAAUACAACAGGGUAUGCAUACCCUCUUGUAUGUACCAUAUGAAUAAGGCACGGCUAACUCCGUGCCAUCCGCCGCGGUAAUACGGAGGGUCCGAGGGUUAUCCGGAUUUAUGGGGUUUAAAGGGAGGUGAGGUGGAUGGUUAAGUCAGUUGUGAAAGUUUGCGGCUACACCGUAAAAUUGCAGUUGAAACUGGCAGUCUGGAGUACAGUAGGGGUGGGCGGAAUGCGGGGUGUAGCGGUGAAAUGGUUAGAUAUCACGAAGAACUCCGAUUGCGAAGGCAGCUCACGGGACUGCAACGGACACUGAUGCUCGAAAGUGUGGGUAUCAAACAGGAUUAGAUACCCAGUAGUC